AUCACCAUCACUGCUGCCUCAGCUCCCCCUCUGUGAACACCUUCCCCCACAUCUGAUCCAAAUCUCCCUAUCACUGGGAUAGGCUUCCCAGGGAGGUGGUUGAGUCACCGUCCCUGGAUGUGUUGAAGAGCCGUUUGGAUGUGGUGCUCGGAGAUAUGAUUUAGAGGAGGGUUGUUAGAGUUAGGGGACUAUGGUUAGGCUGCGCUUGGACCUGAUGAUCUCUGAGGUCCUUUCCAACCUGAGUAAUUCUAUGAUUGUAUGAUUCUUUCUCCAUAACAGAGGUGCUGCAGCCUCUGAGCGAAGCACCUGGAGAAAACCGUUUCCUCUUCUCAUCUGGGGUCGAUGUAGGGCAUGCAAGAGGCGAAU
rnacentral:lncRNA from 1 species